GAUCCUGGCUCAGGACGAACGCUGGCGGCGUGCUUAACACAUGCAAGUCGAACGAAGAGCGAUGGAAGCUUGCUUCUAUUGAUCUUAGUGGCGAACGGGUGAGUAACGCGUAAUCAACCUGCCCCUUCAGAGGGGGACGAACAGUUGGAAACGACUGCUAAUACCGCAUACGAUCCAAUCUCGGCAUCGAGACUGGAUGAAAGGUGGCCUCUAUGUAUAAGCUAUCACUGAAGGG
rnacentral:rRNA from 1 species